CCUACGGGUGGCAGCAGUCGAGAAUCUUUCACAAUGGGGGAAACCCUGAUGGUGCGACGCCGCGUGGGGGAAUGAAGGUCUUCGGGUCGUAAACUCUUGUCUUUGGGGAAGAAGAACUGACGGUACCCAAGGAGGAAGCCCCGGCUAACUACGUGCCAGCAGCCGCGGUAAUACGUAGGGGGCAAGCGUUAUCCGGAAUUAUUGGGGGAAAAGAGGACGUAGGUGGCAACCUAAGCGGAGGGUUUAAGGCAAUGGCUCAACCAUUGUGCGCCCUGGGAACUGGGGUGCUUGAGUGCAGGAGAGGAAAGCGGAAUUCCUAGUGUAGCGGUGAAAUGCGUAGAUAUUAGGAGGAACACCAGUGGCGAAGGCGGCUUUCUGGACUGUAACUGACGCUGAGGUACGAAAGCGUGGGGAGCAAACAGGAUUAGAUACCCGAGUAGUC
rnacentral:rRNA from 1 species